rnacentral:rRNA from 1 species
GACGAACGCUGGCGGCGUGCUUAACACAUGCAAGUCGAACGGUAAGGCCCUUCGGGGUACACGAGUGGCGAACGGGUGAGUAACACGUGGGUGAUCUGCCCUGCACUUCGGGAUAAGCCUGGGAAACUGGGUCUAAUACCGGAUAGGACUCCUGGCUUCAUGGUUGGGGGUGGAAAGCUUUUGCGGUGUGGGAUGGGCCCGCGGCCUAUCAGCUUGUUGGUGGGGUAAUGGCCUACCAAGGCGACGACGGGUAGCCGGCCUGAGAGGGUGACCGGUCACACUGGGACUGAGAUACGGCCCAGACUCCUACGGGAGGAAGCAGUGGGGAAGAUUGCACAAUGGGCGCAAGCCUGAUGCAGCGACGCCGCGUGAGGGAUGACGGCCUUCGGGUUGUAAACCUCUUUCAGCUAUGACGAAGCGCAAGUGACGGUAGUAGCAGAAGAAGGACCGGCCAACUACGUGCCAGCCGCCGCGGUAA